rnacentral:lncRNA from 1 species
CUGGGCCAAUAAUCAACCAGGUGCUCCGCAGGGCGCAGCUUUAUACGACCGCAGAGGUCGAACCCUGAACAGUUGGGGCAAGUAUGGACAAAACAUUCAAGCGUGAUACAGCUCUGAAUUUGGAUUGUGAUCAAAUUUUUGACAUUACAUGGGUUUUUUUUACACAAAACAAAUGUCAAGAUUUUACAAAUCAAUUAAAGAUUUCUUCUUCAAACUUUUUAAAUCUAAAAUUAAAUAGUUGACACAGCAUAGGUUUCUGACACAGAAUGAAUGUGGUCUAAUGAACUUUAAAGUUUUUUUUUUGCCUUUGAGCAAUUCACUAUGCUGUUGAAUAUUAAUCCUCUCAAAAAAAUGUUUGAAGAAAUUUUCUUUUUAUUUAUGAAAUCUGAAAUGAGAAAAAUUUAACCCCCCCCCCUUUUUUUUCACAUCCCUGUUUUCCUUUUUCCAAAACUGAUAUCAAUUCAAAUUUCUAAUGGAGUUUGCAACAAUAACUACUCUUUUAAAUACAUCAUAAAAUAUUAAAAUGUAAAAUAAAGUGCUUGUUAUCACUGAAUGGUAAAGAUUGGUUGGUAGUAAAAGUGAAUAUACAUUGUUUAUUGUAUAAAACAAUAAAAAUGAACCCUGAACGGUUGGGGCAAGUAUGGACACAACAUUCAAGCUGGAUUCAGCUCUAAAUUUGGAUUGUGAUUAAAUAGUUGACACAGAAUGAAUGUGUUCUAAUGAACUUAAAAUUUUUGUUUUCUCUUAGAGCAAUUCACUAUGCUGUUGAAUAUUAAUCCUCUCAAAAAAAUGUUUGAAGAAAUUUUCUUUUUUAUUUAUGAAAUUUCAAAUGAGAAAAAUU